ensembl:snoRNA LOC120097218 small nucleolar RNA SNORA5
UGCAGUCGAGUCAGAUUCAGCCUCCAUCCUUUCAUGGUGGGAGCUAGCCCAGAUGGCUGCUACAGCAAGCUCUGCUGCUCAUUGGGGACACUUACAACUAGUAACCUUUAUAACUCUCAGAACUCAAGUUACAAACAAUU